rnacentral:misc_RNA from 1 species
UCUCCGUAGGUGAACCUGCGGAGGGAUCAUUACUGAGUGAGGGCUUCGGUCCGACCUCCAACCCUUUGUGAACUACAACUCUGUUGCUUCGGGGGCGACCCCGCCGUUUCGGCGGUGCGGCGCCCCCGGAGGCCAUUAAACACUGCAUCAUUGCGUCGGAGUUAAAGUAAAUUAAACAAAACUUUCAACAACGGAUCUCUUGGUUCCAGCAUCGAUGAAGAACGCAGC